UAAAAUUCUAGGGAUUUAAUGUGUUUUUGUGUGGAGCUUUUCACUAACCAAAAUAUAUUAAAAUGAGGUCAAACCACUUCUAAAUGAUAGAUAGAUUAAUCUAUUUUGAAAAUGGUUUCCCUAUGUCACCCUAGAUUUUUUGCUGUGAAAUUAAGAACUUUAUUUAAGAACAUCAAACAGUUUGACAAACUUUAGACCAAUAUUUGGGGUUCCCCCUUUAUGAAAGUUGUGUUUUCAUGAGCUUGGAUUAUUAUAAAAGUGGUCUUAGGUCUCAAUGAUUUUUGAGUCUCAUGUAAUGCUUUUAAAAGUGAUUUGUAUUCAUAUUGAAAAACCAGGAAGAUAAUGUUGUGAUAUCUAUUGCAUUGCAAUAUUGUAUGACAUGAACAUGAUGAUGAAUGUAUGCUUUGUUAUGAAAUGAAUGCAUGUUAUGUUGUGAAAUGAAUGCAUGCUCUGUUAUAAAAUGAAUGCAUCCUCUGUUAUGAAAUGAAUGCAUGAUAAUGAGACAUGCUCUAUUAUGAAAUGACUGCGUGCUCUGCUAUGAAAUGAUGAAUGUGCAUGGUUGUAAUAAGACAUGCCUAUGAAAUAAUGAAUGUGCAUGGUUG
rnacentral:lncRNA from 1 species